CGUGUCUACCGAACCACGUUGCCUCGGCGGGCCCGUCCCCCGGGAUCGCCCCGGGGGACCGCCGGGGGCCUCGCCGGCGCCCUGCUGCGCCGACGGCCCCGGGCCCGCGCCCGCCCGAGGAGUUCGACCGAACCUCUGUCGAUCCGUGAGCGAGUCUGAGUCGACUGGAAAAUCGUCAAAACUUUCAACAACGGAUCUCUUGGUUCCCGCAUCGAUGAAGAACGCAGCGAAAUGCGAUAAGUAAUGUGAAUUGCAGAAUUCCGUGAAUCAUCGAAUCUUUGAACGCACAUGGCGCCCUCUGGUAUUCCGGGGGGCAUGCCUGUCCGAGCGUCAUUGCAACCCUCAAGCGCGGCUUGUGUGAUGGGCGCGCGUCCCCCCGAACUGGGCGGGACGGGCCCGAAAGGCAGUGGCGGCGUCGCGGUCAUCCUCGAUCGCCCGAGUGCAUGGGGCUCAGUCACGCACGACGGCGAGGACCGGCGCCGGCCGAACCCCGCGACACCCCGUGUGUCGC
rnacentral:rRNA from 1 species